CCUCAGGAGCAGACCUGAGAAAAGUUGUCAAGGGUGGUUCACUUACAGGGUAGCCUAGGAAACCCAGUUGGAGGCUAGAAAUAUGAAUUGGAGAAGAGAACGGUGCAGUGAGGUGUGUGCUAUCAAGCACAUCACCACUGAGGCUAACUGAAGGUCAGUCCCAUUGGAAACAGCAUGGAAUAUGGCUGAAAAUUAUUUCCAUCAAGAGCUCUCCUCCCAUGGCACUGAGGAUCAAACCUAGGGCCUUGUACACGGUUGGUUAUCUUCUAUAUUUGUUUGAGGGACAGCUGACCCAACCAAACAGGUAUCACAUCUGAAAGUGGCUUGUGUAUAACAGUCGGGAAUUUUAACAGCAAGGCUGUGGAACAUAUUUCAACUCUGUUUCUAGGAAGCAAAAUAUGUAAGCUUUGGGGACAGUUCAUCAGAGGAGAGAAGACUUUAAAAGAGUAACAGUUGAAGAGAAUGGUAGCCUGGACAUACGUCACAAUGGUGCCAUCAUGAGACGAGUCCGUGUAAUAUAAAAAUGAGUGUGGAAAUACUAACUCCAAGUGAAGGCCAAACUACCAAGAGCUGCUAAGACUACUCUAUUCUACGUUCAGGCAUCAGAUGGAUCUUGUGAAUGUGCCUAUAUAACAUUUGAAUGAGAAUGCGUCAUAAAUUAAAGCAUU